rnacentral:lncRNA from 1 species
UCGAUUUUCGGGUCAUCCGGGUGGUCAGUCAGGGGAACUGGCAAGUGGAAAGGAAAGCUUGCAUUCAAGUUUCAAAAACCUCGCAGCCAGCUGCAUCCAAGAAGGCAGCAGUCUUUCAUAAGCCAAAGAGGAUAAUGAAUUCCUUGCCUCUUCCUAGUUGUUGCUUCCCCCUCUCCGGUGAAAUGGGCAAAGACUUCACCGAUAGUGAAAAGCUGGAAGCUUUGCUGGCACAAAAAAACUCUAGCCCCUUUCUCGCGUUGGCUGCUUGCUUUGCACGCUAAAGGCCUUUUGUUUAACGUUUCCCCUUCCCUUACUAAGCUUUCAGUCCUAAUAGCGACUUCCUUGCCUCCCAGGAAAGUGAAAGUAAGCACUAUUCCCUAAGCCCUACAGUUCCUUCGCUGGUAGCAAACCCGUAAAGCAGAAGUUGAGGAACGAAAGAGGAGACGACCGCCACUUGACC